UACAGAGGGUGCAAACGUUGCUCGGAAUUAUUGGGCGUAAAGCGCGUGUAGGCGGCUUGUUAAGUUGGUUGUGAAAACCCAUGGCUCAACCAUGGAAGUGCGUCCAAAACUGGCAAGCUAGAGUUCUGACGAGGAUGGCGGAAUUCCCAGUGUAGAGGUGAAAUUCGUAGAUAUCAAGCGGAACACCGGUGGCGAAGGCGGCCUUCUGGACGAUGACUGACGCUGAGACGCGAAAGCGUGGGGAGCAAACAGG
rnacentral:rRNA from 1 species